AGAGUUUGAUCCUGGCUCAGGACGAACGCUGGCGGCGUGCCUAAUACAUGCAAGUCGAGCGAACAGAGAAGGAGCUUGCUCCUUUGACGUUAGCGGCGGACGGGUGAGUAACACGUGGGCAACCUACAUUAUAGUUUGGGAUAACUCCGGGAAACCGGGGCUAAUACCGAAUAAUCUAUUUUACUUCAUGGUGAAAUACUGAAAGACGGUUUCGGCUGUCGCUAUAAGAUGGGCCCGCGGCGCAUUAGCUAGUUGGUGAGGUAACGGCUCACCAAGGCGACGAUGCGUAGCCGACCUGAGAGGGUGAUCGGCCACACUGGGACUGAGACACGGCCCAGACUCCUACGGGAGGCAGCAGUAGGGAAUCUUCCACAAUGGGCGAAAGCCUGAUGGAGCAACGCCGCGUGAGUGAAGAAGGUUUUCGGAUCGUAAAACUCUGUUGUAAGGGAAGAACAAGUACAGUAGUAACUGGCUGUACCUGACGGUACCUAUAG
rnacentral:rRNA from 1 species